ncrna:unclassified sequences Actino-pnp RNA
AAUGGUCCUCGGUAGUGGUUUCCAGAUGUUUGCAUCUGUGAACUUCGAUCGAAGAUUCAUU